rnacentral:rRNA from 1 species
AUUGAACGCUGGCGGCAGGCCUAACACAUGCAAGUCGAGCGGAUGAAGGGAGCUUGCUCCUGGAUUCAGCGGCGGACGGGUGAGUAAUGCCUAGGAAUCUGCCUGGAAGUGGGGGAUAACGUCCGGAAACGGGCGCUAAUACCGCAUCCGUCCUGAUGGAGAAAUUGGGGGAUCUUCGGAUCUCUCGCGAUCAGAUGAGCCUAGGUCGGAUUAGCUAGUUGGUGGGGGAAAGGCCUACCAAGGCGACGAUCCGUAACUGGUCUGAGAGGAUGAGCAGUGACACUGGGAGUGAGACACGGCCGAGAAUAUUAGGCGAGGGAGCAGUGGGGAAUAUAGGACAACGGCCGAAAGGCUGAUGGAGCUAUGAUGCGUGAGCGAUGAAGGUUGGAGGGUUGUAAAGCUAGUUUACACGGGACGAUAAUGACAGUACCGGGAGAAUAAGCACCGGCUAACUUCGUG